GAAAAACCAUUUGUGGCAGUCUUCUUUAAAAAAUGUCCAUCAAAUAAUCUAGACAGGAAAAUUCUCUCACGGCCCCUCUGCCCUAGGCGACCACCUUCAGACUUCAGAUCAAU